ACUCACAACCAAGAUCAUGAGUCGCAUGCUCUUCCAGCCGUGCCAACCAGGUGCCCCGAAACUGCUGAUUUCUUGAGGAGUGAGGAGUUAGUUCAUUUCAGUGAAUGUUGACCCUGCCAAGCCUCGUACAAGGCACCGGGGGAAAGAAGAAUAAAGGAUUGAGGAAGACACAGCUCCUACCUUCAGGAACCUGAAGUUCAUCCUAACAUGGGCCAGAAAAGCCAGCAGACUCCUUCCUGCUUGCCGGCUUUAACCAACUGCUGAUGGCUACACAGAGGAGGAGUCUGCAUUCAGAGGCUGUGGGAAACAGUGCUACCAUUGAUUAACAAUGUCUGCUGUGGACAAGGGACCAAGAGUGCUGUUGUGUGUGCCAUGUAUUUGCCAAACUCGAUCUGUGCUUUUUCAACCCCUCCUCACCCUUUGACUCAAGCAACCCCGUUUUCCUGGGAGCCCCUCCCUUCUUCUCUACUUGUCCAAAUUCUUUCAAGACCCAGAGUCUUCAAGUAGCAGGGCUACUUGGGUGCCUGGGUGGCUCAUUCAGUUAAGUAUCUGAUCUUGAUUUCACGUGUUCAUGAAUUCAAGUCUUGCA